rfam:Pseudozyma brasiliensis GHG001 unplaced genomic scaffold PSETBRA_SCAF3, whole genome shotgun sequence.
AUCCAUCAGUGAGGCAGGCGCUUCAUCCAGUGAGGUCUUUACCGAGGAGAAGCUUAUUGCUGAUUGCAAAUUACCUAUAUUGCACGUCCUUGCUGUCACCAUGACGGCCUGGCAAUUUUUGGCACCCUUUCCUUCUCUUCUUCCGCCAUCUCGGAGUCGAGG